rfam:Ictidomys tridecemlineatus contig054339, whole genome shotgun sequence.
GUGGUUGUGGCUCAGUGGUAGAGUGCUUGCCUAGCAUGCAUGAAGAUCUGGGUUCAAUCUUCAGCACCACA